UACUGCAUUUUUUCUUACACAUGUGUUUUUCUUUUUUURAAAACUUUGCUUUGGUAGGGAGCUGAUGGGGCCUGCCAGAGAUUAAACUCAACCAAAUUUUAUUUAAUGUCAACCGAUUAUUUAAUAGUCAAAACUUUCAACAACGGAUCUCUUGGUUCUCGCAUCGAUGAARAACGCARCGAAAUGCGAUAAGUAAUAUGAAUUGCAGAUAUUCGUGAAUCAUCGAAUCUUUGAACGCACAUUGCGCCCUUUGGUAUUCCAAAGGGCAUGCCUGUUUGAGCGUCAUUUCUCCCUCAAACCCUCGGGUUUGGUGUUGAGCGAUACGCUGGGUUUGCUUGAAAGAAAGGCGGAGUAUAAACUAAUGGAUAGGUUUUUUCCACUCAUUGGUACAAACUCCAAAACUUCUUCCAAAUUCGACCUCAAAUCAGGUAGGACUACCCGCUGAACUUAAGCAUAUCAAUAAGCGGAGG
rnacentral:rRNA from 1 species